rnacentral:rRNA from 1 species
GUGUCAGCAGCCGCGGUAAAACCAGCUCUUCAAGUGGUCGGGAUGAUUAUUGGGCUUAAAGUGUCCGUAGCCGGUUUAGUAAGUUCCUGGUAAAAUCGGGUAGCUUAACUAUCUGUAUGCUAGGAAUACUACUAUGCUAGAGGGCGGGAGAGGUCUGAGGUACUACAGGGGUAGGGGUGAAAUCUUAUAAUCCUUGCAGGACCACCAGUGGCGAAGGCGUCAGACUGGAACGCGCCUGACGGUGAGGGACGAAAGCCAGGGGAGCGAACCGGAUUAGAUACCCGGGUAGUCCUGGCCGUAAACGAUGCACACUAGGUGAUGGCACGGCCAUGAGCCGUGUCAGUGCCGUAGGGAAACCGUUAAGUGUGCCGCCUGGGAAGUACGGUCGCAAGGCUGAAACUUAAAUGAAUUGACGGGG